AGAGAUGUGUGAUGACGCAUAUCAAUAAGCGGAGGAAAAGAAACUAACAAGGAUUCCCUUAGUAACGGCGAGUGAAGCGGGAAGAGCUCAAAUUUGAAAUCUUCAAGGUUCUACCUUGACGAAUUGUAGUUUAAAGAAGUGUUUUCUGUUAGUGGAGUGGCAAAAGUUCUUUGGAAUAGGACAUCAUAGAGGGUGAGAAUCCCGUAUUUGGUCAUUCCUUCCAGCUGUGUGAUACACUUUCAAAGAGUCGGAUUGUUUGGGGAUGCAGUCCAAAAUGGGUGGUAAAUUUCAUCUAAAGCUAAAUAUUGGCGAGAGACCGAUAGCGAACAAGUACCGUGAGGGAAAGAUGAAAAGAACUUUGAAAAGAGAGUUAAACAGUACGUGAAAUUGUCAAAAGGGAAGCGUUUGACACCAGUGUUGUUUAGUUGAAAAUCAAUUAAAUAUUUUUCGAUUUUAAGUAGUAUUGACCUUAUCAGCUUGCUGCUUUUUUCUCGGAAAUUAUUUAAUGCACUUUUCAGUUAACAAGUCAACAUCAAUUUCUUUUGUUGUAAAAGGUAAGAGGAAGGUGGCUUGCGCUUCGGCUCAAGUGUUUAUAGCCUUUUACCCCUGCAAUCGGAGAGAUUGAGGUCUGCAGCGUAGAUCCUUCGGGGUUAGAUACAUUUGUGCUAAGUUAUAGCUUUUCAUAGACGACUUGUUGACUAUGUUAAGUCUUGUAGCUUACUCGCUUAUGCUAUUUUACCUACGCUUAGGAUGUUGAUCUGUAGUGCGUGCGC
rnacentral:rRNA from 1 species